UUAAUACUCCCUCCGUCCGGAAUUACUUGUCGCGAAAAUGAAUGUAUCUAGAACUAAAAUACGUCUAGAUACAUCCAUUUCCCCGACAAGUAUUUCUGAACGGAGGGAGUACAUC
rnacentral:pre_miRNA from 1 species